UUAAAACUUUCAACAACGGAUCUCUUGGUUCUGGCAUCGAUGAAGAACGCAGCGAAAUGCGAAAAGUAAUGUGAAUUGCAGAAUUCAGUGAAUCAUCGAAUCUUUGAACGCACAUUGCGCCUCUCGGUAUUCCGGGAGGCAUGCCUGUUCGAGCGUCAUUACACCACUCAAGCUUGGCUUGAUGUUGGGCUC
rnacentral:rRNA from 1 species